ACGGAGGAUCCGGGCGUUAUCCGGAAUUACUGGGUUUAAAGGGUGCGUAGGCGGGGCUUUAAGCCGGCGGUGAAAGGCAGCGGCUCAACCGCUGGAAUGCCUUCGGGACUGGGGAGCUUGGAGACGGUAGGGGCGGGCGGAACUCCCGGUGUAGUGGUGGAAUGCGUAGAGAUCGCGAGGAACGCCUGUAGCGAAGGCGGCUCGCUGGUCCAGUACUGACGCUGAGGCGCGUAAGCGUGUGUAGCGAACAG
rnacentral:rRNA from 1 species